GACGAACGCUGGCGGCGUGCCUAAUACAUGCAAGUAGAACGCUGAAGAGAGGAGCUUGCUCUUCUUGGAUGAGUUGCGAACGGGUGAGUAACGCGUAGGUAACCUGCCUUGUAGCGGGGGAUAACUAUUGGAAACGAUAGCUAAUACCGCAUAACAAUGGAUGACACAUGUCAUUUAUUUGAAAGGGGCAAUUGCUCCACUACAAGAUGGACCUGCGUUGUAUUAGCUAGUAGGUGAGGUAAUGGCUCACCUAGGCGACGAUACAUAGCCGACCUGAGAGGGUGAUCGGCCACACUGGGACUGAGACACGGCCCAGACUCCUACGGGAGGCAGCAGUAGGGAAUCUUCGGCAAUGGGGGCAACCCUGACCGAGCAACGCCGCGUGAGUGAAGAAGGUUUUCGGAUCGUAAAGCCCUGUUGUAAGUCAAGAACGGGUGUGAGAGUGGAAAGUUCACACUGUGACGGUAGCUUACCAGAAAGGGACGGCUAACUACGUG
rnacentral:rRNA from 1 species